CCUACGGGAGGCAGCAGUGGGGAAUUUUCCGCAAUGGGCGCAAGCCUGACGGAGCAAGACCGCGUGAGGGAGGAAGGCUCUUGGGUUGUAAACCUCUUUUAUCAGGGAAGAAGAUCUGACGGUACCUGAUGAAUCAGCAUCGGCUAACUCCGUGCCAGCAGCCGCGGUAAUACGGAGGAUGCAAGCGUUAUCCGGAUUUAUUGGGCGUAAAGCGUCCGCAGGUGGUUAUUCAAGUCUGCUGUUAAAGCGCGAGGCUUAACUUCGUACAGGCAGUGGAAACUGGAUGACUGGAGUAUGGUAGGGGUAGCGGGAAUUCCCAGUGUAGCGGUGAAAUGCGUAGAUAUUGGGAAGAACACCAGCGGCGAAAGCGCGCUACUGGGCCAUUACUGACACUCAUGGACGAAAGCUAGGGGAGCGAAAGGGAUUAGAUACCCCUGUAGUCCUAGCUGUAAACGAUGGGUACUAGGUGUUGACCGUAUCGACCCGGUCAGUGUCGUAGCUAACGCGUUAAGUACCCCGCCUGGGGAGUAUGCCACGCAGUGUGAACUAAAUAGAAGUUAGACGGCGUGAGACGUGCCGACGGACGACGACGAGGGAGGUAGG
rnacentral:rRNA from 1 species